rnacentral:rRNA from 1 species
GACGUAGGUGGCGAACGUUAUCCGGAAUUACUGGGCGUAAAGCGCGCGCAGGCGGCUAUCCAAGUCAGUGGUGAAAGCCCGGAGCUCAACUCCGGAACUGCCAUUGAAACUGUUUAGCUUGAGGAUGAGAGAGGUGAGUGGAAUUCCCAGUGUAGAGGUGAAAUUCGUAGAUAUUGGGAAGAACACCGGUGGCGAAGGCGGCUCACUGGCUCAUUACUGACGCUCAGGCGCGAUAGCGUGGGGAUCAAACAGG